rnacentral:rRNA from 1 species
UACGGAGGGGGCUAGCGUUGUUCGGAAUUACUGGGCGUAAAGCGCACGUAGGCGGCUUUGUAAGUUAGAGGUGAAAGCCCGGGGCUCAACUCCGGAAUUGCCUUUAAGACUGCAUCGCUAGAAUUGUGGAGAGGUAAGUGGAAUUCCGAGUGUAGAGGUGAAAUUCGUAGAUAUUCGGAAGAACACCAGUGGCGAAGGCGACUUACUGGGACACAUAUUGACGCUGAGGUGCGAAAGCGUGGGGAGCAAACAGG